rnacentral:lncRNA from 1 species
CAAAUUACCUACUUCGGGACUUUGGGCAGAACAAAGGAACCCUAAGUCUUCAAGAGCUUAAAACACACACACACAAACACACACACACACACACACACACACACUUUGUGUUCCCCCCUUUCCCCGGAUUCCUCCAACCUCUCCCCUAAUAAUGCGACACCAGAAGGUGAACAAGAGGCAGCCCCGAUAUUUUACAGAUCCAGGGCGGUCGGAAUUCCAAAGGGGACGAGGAGAGAAAAACCCUCCUCUAGCUCGGGCUCCUGCUCCCCUCCCCACGUCGCCCUCUAAUUACCUCUCCGGAGUUCUCGGCCUCUUCUUCAGGCUCCCAAUGGGAGCAUGAUGGGGGGCCCCUUCUCCCCAAGACGCUGCUCCCCCUCUAGCCCCCGCGGGGUCUUUUCUCUCGGUGAGGGCGGAUGUGAAUGGGGAUGCGGGGGCGGCCUCUCGCAAGAGGAAGAGGAGACUGGCGGCUUCUGGGGUAGAAAGGGGGUGUCGCAGGCCGGUUUCCUGGUCUCAAGUUUUGACACGAGUUUCCCAGCCGCCCCAACAAAGAUCCCCCGAGGAAAAGGGGAAGGCCAAAAAAAAAAAAGUUUUCUCUCGUGACACCGCCCGGAAUUACUGCAUGAAACUCACUUCCUGCCCGGGCACAGAAGCUGAAUCCAGGUCCACGCACGGGAACCCGGAAAACCAGCUCGACCAAAGCCGGGGAGCAGAAGGCGGGCGGGGGGGGGGAGGUGUCUGUCUCUCCCGCCGCCGAGGACCGUCCGAGCCCCGGCCACAGAGAUGGACGAUCGGAAUCCAGUCGCGCGAAGCUGCCGAGUGCGCUCGCGGUGCGACCAAGCCGACGACGCACCCCACUGCGGGCUCCUCCCGGUCCGGCGAGCGCGGCUACACCGCGCCCCUUCCUCUGCCGCCGCGGCCCUCGCUAGGCCAGCUCCCGCAGCCGCAGCCGCAGCCGCAGCCGCCGCCGGGGUUAUUGUCUCGACCGCGCCUGCCGCGCCCUUCGCCCGCGCCGCCACCGCCACCGCCACCGGGGUCCCGAGUCCUGGGAGAAAGAGGGAGGGGGCAGGCACGCGGGCCGGCCCCCGCCCCCGGCCGUCAGUCCGCCCGGCCCGGGUCUCCGUCCCCUCCUCCUCCCCACCCCCUGCCCUCGCCUAGGGCUCGCGGCUUCCCGCCCGUGCCCCGCUCCCGCAGCCCCGGACCGCUGUGGCGGAGGAGGAGGCUCCGCGAUUGCGGACGGGGUGCGAGGCAGAGCGCAGAGGGAGAGAGACGGACGCCGCCGCCGAGGGUAACGCCGGGGCCGCGGCCGGCCGCGCUACAUUCACUAGACACCGACCCGAGGGGAGGGGAAGAAGGCGGAGGAGGGGGGAGGGACCGGGCUGGGGCCGAAGCAGGAGGGAGCGCGGCCUCUCCGGCUGAGGCUGGCGGGGAGCAAGCAGCAACAGCGCCCCCCGACCAGGACGGGGGGGAAGGCUCUGCGCGCGGCGGCGGAGGGGGAGGGGAAGAGGGCGGGGCCGCGGCGGGAAGCGGCCUCCAGCCGGCUCUCACCCCAACUGCCAGGCCCGGCGGGGCGGCGGGAGGCCGGCGCGAGCCAGUCAGCUCGCGGGGGCGGCGAGACGGCCCAAUGGCUCGCCUCGGUCUCUGGGGAGGGGAAAGGAAUGAAAGGAGCUGGGGAGGGGGGCAAGCCGAGCGCGGGGUGGGGGAGGGGCCGCCCGCGGCAGGUUCGAGGGAGAAGUGCACCGAGGUGGAGCCGCUAAGCGUGUCGGGGCCGCCUCCCCCGGCCGCGCCCCCGCCGGGUCCCCGCGUGGCCCCCCGGGGAGCCGAUAAGUGGUUUGACAGGUUCCUAGUUUUGUGCCUUUUCCUAACUGGCAAUCUUGAGCUCAAGAACUUCCCAGCUCUCACUGAGUCCAAGGAUGCUCUGAAAUCUACAGGGUCUUACUGCAGCAUCCCCCAGAGUUUAAGUCAGCAUGAAUGCAAAGCUGAUUAGUCCAAAGUUACUUCAGGAAGUCUGUUUCUUACUGUCAAUGGUUGUUAUUCAUCCUUCAUUUUCAAAGAACAUGAUGAGGUCUUGACUCCAGUGUGAAUUGGAUUUAACUGAGACAGAAUUGCACAAAGUCAUCAGCCUCACUCUCUCUUCUAGAGUCACUGAAGCCCAUUGGCAAGACAAAAGUCAAGAUGACUGGAGUGGUCUGGGGUGCAGUGGAUGGCCUUGGAGUCUUUGAUUUCUGAUCAAACUCUAAGAGCUCCAUGGAACUUGCUUCAGCCACCUUCGUGGCCAUUGGAAGAAAUUGUUUUCAUCUAUCCAUUCUACUGGGGGAUGUUUUCACAUGCUUGGGGUAGACACCCCCCUUACUCACCAACUGGUUUGAGGCCUGUCAGUUACCCUUUUACUAGGGUGUGGCUGCUGCACACACUAUAGCUUCUUGGAGCCACAGGUGAGAGUUGGGUGGUAGGUGGAACCAAAAGUAAAUGAGGAGCCCUGAAAAGGGCUCUACAAGCCCUCACACUAGAGGUACUAGUCCUCCCUGAAUAUCUAUACACUUCAUUAGUCAAUGGUAUUGUUAAGGAAAUAGAUUUUUUCCUAGACCCUCCUUCAGAAGCUCCCUUGAAAUGUUCUCAGCCAAUCUCCUAGGGAUUUGUGUUCAGCUUUUUUUCCCUCAAGAAUCUUCUAAAAUAAUUUGAAAUUCCUGAAAGGAACCUGAAAUUCUCCUCUGAGUAUCUUUAGAGUUUUAGUGCUGAGCCAAAACUAAUUUGAUGGUAGGCAUGCCAACAAGUUCCUUAGGUCAUCCUGACCUGAAUUUUUAGGCAGAGGGCCUUGGUUUAAUCACAGAAAGCCACUUGAGUGUCAGUAAGGUUUAUGGGAAAGAACAGUGCACAGUGGCCCUGACUUAAACAGUUACUAGCUAUGUGAUCUUGGUCAGGUCAUUUUAUUCUCUCUGAGCUUCAGCUUCCUCACCUGUAACACGUAGAUAACAGCAUUUAUGGUAAAGAGAAAAAUGCUUUGUAAACCUCAAAAUGCUAUAAAAAUAAGAGUUAUCAGUAUUAAUGAUGAUGAUAAUUAUCUGAGACUUGAAGUACAAAACUGUUAUGCUUUUGUUGUUCAGUAGUGUCAACCCUUCAUGAACCCAUUUGGGAUUUUCUUGACAAUGAUACUGGAGUGAUUUGCCAUUUCCUUCUCCAGUGAAUCUAGUGGAUCCAUUUUGUCAGGCAACCAAAGGUUAAGUAAGUUGUCCUGGGUCACAUAGCUAGGAAGUGUUUAAGGCUAGAUUUGAACUCAGAUCUUCCUUCAGGGGUGGAGAACCUGCAGCCUUGAGGCCACAUGUAGUCUUCGGUAUCUAGAAGGCCACAUGUGGCCUCUAUCCACUGAGCCACCAUCUGCCUCAUUAUGCCUUUUAUGCUUAGUUGCCUGAAGUACCUACAGUGGCAGAAAAUGCUAACAGUGAACCACCUUGCUGUCUUUCUUUUUUCCCUGCAGUUUGCAUCUUGGCUCAACAUUUCAAUAUAUACGGUGUCCCAAAAAUCUUAGUGCUGGUUAAAUCACUUUAAAGCUUAAAUAGCUUAAAACAGGGCUAAGACUUUUAGAAAACCCUGCAAAAUAUCAUUAGGAGGCCAUUUUGAACAAAUGACCAAUACUUCCAGAGAUCCUAUUUAGAAAAAUAUAAGUUUAAGUAUAUUUCAAAGAUUUCCUUUACAAGCCAUUUAAAAUUAUCAAUAUUAAAACUGCCAACAGCAAGAGGAUGAAAAAGUAAGACUCAUUCCAAGAGAAUAUCCAAUAGUGCAGAAAUGAAGCCUAAGUAUGCAAAAGAACUCAGUUAAUAAGGGUCAAAUAGGGAUAAUGAAAUAGGCCUUGAGCUGCAUACAUUGGGUCUGACAAUUGGUUAAAUAGCACCUAAGGACUAAAAAUUCACAGACUGGGUCCUCUUUGAUCCCAAAUAUUUGACAUUGCAUAUAUUUUCCACAUGCUUAAUCCAGCAUUGAUGUAAGUACUCUCUAGUACCCUCAAACAAUAAAAAAAAAAAUCUUACAUUCGUAUAUCUUACA